rnacentral:rRNA from 1 species
ACAAUGGAGAGUUUGAUCCUGGCUCAGGAUGAACGCUAGCGGCAGGCUUAACACAUGCAAGUCGAGGGGUAACAGGAGAGCUUGCUCUUGCUGACGACCGGCGCACGGGUGCGUAACACGUAUGCAACUUGCCUCGUACUGGGGGAUAGCCCGGAGAAAUCCGGAUUAAUACCCCAUAAUGAUCGAAAGGGCAUCCUUUUGAUCUGAAAGUUCCGACGGUACGGGAUAGGCAUGCGGCCCAUUAGCUAGUUGGUGAGGUAAUGGCUCACCAAGGCUACGAUCGGUAGGGGGCCUGAGAGGGUUAUCCCCCACACUGGUACUGAGACA